rnacentral:rRNA from 1 species
UACGGGGGGGGCAAGCGUUGUUCGGAAUUACUGGGCGUAAAGGGCGCGUAGGCGGCUUGGUCAGUCCCGUGUGAAAUCCCUCGGCUCAACUGAGGAACUGCACGGGAAACUGCCUGGCUUGAGUUCGGGAGAGGGAAGCGGAAUUCCGGGUGUAGCGGUGAAAUGCGUAGAUAUCCGGAGGAACACCGGUGGCGAAGGCGGCUUCCUGGACCGACACUGACGCUGAGGUGCGAAAGCUAGGGGAGCAAACGGG